UUUUAAUGCCAUUGGCCCUGUUGGUUGCAGACCAAGAAAAGACCAAAACUUUGUGGCUGUUGCUUCAAUGGGGCAGUGGAAAAGACGUGGGAAAUAAUUCAGGUGUUGUGGCAAUGGAAAGAGGGAGCAGUAAGGGAUGUCAGAGCAGUUAUAGAGAAAAAGAAGGCCUCAAAAAAUAAGGUUCAAGUCAGUUAAGGAGGAUGUGGAUGUGCAGGGAGGCCUACACCUCGUUCAGGAUUUAAAAGCCUUGAUUUUGCUUUCCUGUAGCAGUGGCAGCUCUCUGGGAGUCUCUUGGAUGUGUCCUGGGCUGGGAAAUCUGCAGUGCUGCAGGGAGGGAUGGAGCAGGGGUGCCCUGCUUGAUGAUCCUCCCCACUGCUCCACCACAGCUCCUCCUCCUCCUCCAGCACCAGCCCAGGGUCGUUUGACCUCCUCCAUGUAGCACAUCCUCCAUCCCGACCUGACCCUCAUUCACGCCAGUCCUGUUUCUCUUCUCUGUCUCCCUGCCGCAGACAACGGCGUAUCGGGUUGCGUUUUGAGGCGGGCGGGCUGUUUUCAGCCUCCAUAGAAAAUCCAUUUAUCAUAUCAGCCUUACAUUAGCCAAAGUACAGGAGAUAAAAAUUAUCUUGGAAAUCUAAACAUAGAUUCUAAUCUAAGGUGAGGCCAAGUCUGUAUGAGUUUUACAGCAGAAAGUGAGACCCAAUGUGGCUGGCUCAAGUACAGGGCCUCUCCAGGGCUUUCUCUGCCUAAACCACCGUGGGUCAACCUCCAGGAAGGAAGACGUUUCUAAGGAAACCGCGGAGGCCUUCCACCAAGGUGGCUGCAUGAAAGUGCUGAGCUGGUGAGAGUGACAAAAAGCAGUUCAUUGGAUAAUGUAGAAAAAGAAACCGAAACCCCCACCAGUGAACAGCCCAGGUUUCUGGAUCCAAAGCCUGGCAAGGGGAUUUGUAACACCAGUGAGCACAACGUCACCCAUCACGGAGGUGUCUCCUGAGCUGGCACCUUCCUGCUGCCAGGGAGCUGAAAACGGGAGGUGAACGAUGACAUGAGGAGGAGAUUUUACAACUUUUCUGCUUCCAUGCACAUCUACUGUGACUGAAAUCCCUUUCUCCUAAACAAACUCCACCCUUAGGAAGAUUAUGUUUUAUAAGAUGGAGUAACAGACCCCACAGCACCUCUGUUACAGAAGAGCUGCAGGAGCUGACCGUGGCUCUGAUUGCUGUUUGUGUGGUGACUCCGCAGAAGCAUACAAAGAGGCAAUUAACCCCAGGCAAGCUCACGUUUGCUGUUUCAGUUUUUCCUUUGCUGUUCUGAAGGUGAACGAACUCUUGCACCCACACAGAAUUCAAGGGGUAAGAAAACGCAUCAACCAAGCUGAUAGAAAAACAGUCCAGACCUAUGCGGGCAGAGGAGUAAUCUGCUUUGCAGAAGGGCUGAAGCAGAGGGUGGGAGAAAGAAGGAGAACAAGAAGGAAAGAUAGACAUCUGCCAUGCAGCUCCGGCACUCGCAGCAGAAGCGACGUGUUUGUUCAGGCCAGAGCACAUACUUGUUUACCCAAGCAAUGCUGCUGUCACAUGCCGCGCACCAAACAAAACUCUACAUCAAAGUCUCCGAGCACUUGCUAAGCAGCAACCAUGGCCAUUUGUCAUGUAAGGUUACAUACAUGCUAUUUCACAGUGGAAUGCAGUACGUUGUGCAGGAACACAGUGGCAGACGCCUGCAAACAUGCUGAAUGAUGGAGUGUUUUUGUGCUGGGGGAAAACAUCAGUUAGCUAUUACACUGUGACCAUCAGGCUUGCUUUAUUUCUUACUUAAGUCUCUCUGCUGAAGCUGUGACAUUACAACUUCCCUCGCUUGCAAUCUCUUUUAUUAUUAUUAUUAUUAUUUGUAUAUUUUAUCGGGAUGAACUUCAUGCUGGCACCUUUCUUAAUGUCAUCUCUGUGGUUCACUGGCUCAGCCUCUGGAACAAGAAAUGGCCGAGCAGAUGCGUGUGUUCUGGUUGAAGAUCAUGAAGCCUGUAAAUUGCAAGCUUUCUUUAGGAGACAGCAUGUGGGUUAUUAUUAAACCAGAAAACAUAUGUGAAUAAUUGAGGAAAAGGAUCCAGCAUUUAGCUCUGAAAAUGUGAAGUCAGCUUGCUGAGAAUAAUGUAUCUCUGCAUUUUGACCUGUUGCUGACAACAAAUAUAUUUCACUAUUACCUGGAUAGCAAUGAUGUUUUUUAUUUUUUUUCCCUCAUCUAAAUGAAAGCCAGUUGAGAGAAGCUGGCAACAGACAAAUGAUGCUCAUUCCACCCCUGCUUUUACUUAAUGGCUGAUAUCAAGAUCCUCAGCAUUCAUUGGUGACAUUAGUAUUAAAAACAUAUUUCUUAUCUGGCUCUUUUAUUCCUACAAAUCAAGCAUGGAAAUAAAUCUGUGCUGAUGGAGCAGUGAGCAUGCAGCCGUGGGAAGGAGGAGGGCUGGCCCCAGGCCGGAGCCCACCGUGCUCUGCACCUGCCUGGUGCUCACCAGGCAUCCUCUUCACCC